rnacentral:rRNA from 1 species
AUGACUUAUGCGUUCUGUUACCAUUUCCAAAUGGAGGAUCCCUUAAUCCAAUUAAAGGAGGAUUAUAAAUGGAUAGAUGUCUUUGAUUUCCACUGGAGAUUGGGAACCGAUGGACUUUCAUUGAGAUCUAUCUUAUUGACAGGAUUUAUCACUACUUUAGCUACUUUAGCAGCUUGGCCAAUUACACAGAAUUCAUGAUUAUUCUAUUUCCUGAUGCUCGCAAUGUAUAGUGGUCAAAUAGGAUUAUUUUCCUCGCGAGGCCUUUUACUUCUUUUUAUCAUGUGGGAGUUAGAAUUAAUUCAUGUUUACUUACUUUUAUCCAUGGGGGGGUGCGUCUAUAUUCAACUACAAAGUUUAUUUUGUAUAUUGCACGCGGUUCCAUUUUUUUCUUAA